rnacentral:snRNA from 1 species
AGUCGGGAGUUGUUUACAUUAUCGUUAGACGAUCUCGCCUUUUACUAGAUCGACCCGUGCAAACAGCUCGCAAACCGACGUUCGAAUUUGUUCCCCACUCAUCCUUAUGAGUU